GACGAACGCUGGCGGCGUGCCUAAUACAUGCAAGUAGAACGCUGAAGGAGGAGCUUGCUCUUCUGGAUGAGUUGCGAACGGGUGAGUAACGCGUAGGUAACCUGCCUGGUAGCGGGGGAUAACUAUUGGAAACGAUAGCUAAUACCGCAUAACAGUAGAUGUUGCAUGACAUUUGCUUAAAAGGUGCAAUUGCACCACUACCAGAUGGACCUGCGUUGUAUUAGCUAGUUGGUGGGGUAACGGCUCACCAAGGCGACGAUACAUAGCCGACCUGAGAGGGUGAUCGGCCACACUGGGACUGAGACACGGCCCAGACUCCUACGGGAGGCAGCAGUAGGGAAGCUUCGGCAAUGGACGGAAGUCUGACCGAGCAACGCCGCGUGAGUGAAGAAGGUUGUCGGAUCGUAAAGCUCUGUUGUAAGAGAAGAACGAGUGUGAGAGUGGAAAGUUCACACUGUGACGGUAUCUUACCAGAAAGGGACGGCUAACUACGUG
rnacentral:rRNA from 1 species